UACAGAGGUCUCAAGCGUUGUUCGGAUUCAUUGGGCGUAAAGGGUGCGUAGGUGGCGCUGUAAGUCGGGUGUGAAAUUUCGGAGCUUAACUCCGAAACUGCAUUUGAUACUGGCGUGCUUGAGGACUGGAGAGGAGACUGGAAUUCACGGUGUAGCAGUGAAAUGCGUAGAGAUCGUGAGGAAGACCAGUGGCGAAGGCGGGUCUCUGGACAGUUCCUGACACUGAGGCACGAAGGCCAGGGGGAGCAAAACGGGG
rnacentral:rRNA from 1 species